rnacentral:rRNA from 1 species
AUACUAUUCAUAUGUAUGUAUUGUAAGGACGUGAAUGCGGCUGUCUGUCAAACGGUACUCGUCGUCGCCGUUGCGAAACGUCGACGUGAUUCCCGUUUCAGUAAAGAAUGAAGUGAUAGCAACAUGUAAUCGUUGCACCGAAUGCAAUAUGGAAUCGUGUGACUGUAUGCUAGUGAUCAUUACUUACCAUCGUCGAUUUUGAUUCUCAAUGGGUAUCAUUGAUGAAAUCGCCCGACAUGAAAUAGUCGUCGAUGGAUGACGUGUGUUGCUCAGUAAUGAUGACUAUGAACACUAGCAUAGUCCCAAAUAGAUUACAUAUUUGUAUUUAAAAUUGUACGAUGCAACCUGAACUCAGACGUGAUUACCCGCUGAACUUAAGCAUAUCAUUUAGCGGAGGAAAAGAAACUAAAUG